CGCACGGGUGAGUAACGCGUGGGUAAUCUGCCUAGUGGCGGGGGACAACCUUGGGAAACUGGGGCUAAUACCGCAUAAGCAAGAAAUUGGAAAGGUGGCCUCUACUUGUAAGCUAUCACCACUAGAGGAGCCCGCGUAGUAUUAGUUUGUUGGUGGGGUAAUGGCCUACCAAGACGAUGAUACUUAGCUGGUCUGAGAGGAUGAUCAGCCACACUGGAACUGAGACACGGUCCAG
rnacentral:rRNA from 1 species